AACGAACGCUGGCGGCAUGCCUAACACAUGCAAGUCGAACGAGACCUUCGGGUCUAGUGGCGCACGGGUGCGUAACGCGUGGGAAUCUGCCCUUGGGUUCGGAAUAACAGUUGGAAACGACUGCUAAUACCGGAUGAUGACGUAAGUCCAAAGAUUUAUCGCCCAAGGAUGAGCCCGCGUAGGAUUAGCUAGUUGGUGAGGUAAAGGCUCACCAAGGCGACGAUCCUUAGCUGGUCUGAGAGGAUGAUCGGCCACACUGGGACUGAGACACGGCCCAGACUCCUACGGGAGGCAGAAGUGGGGAAUAUUGGACAAUGGGCGAAAGCCUGAUCAAGCAAUGCCGCGUGAGUGAUGAAGGCCUUAGGGUUGUAAAGCUCUUUUACCCGGGAUGAUAAUGACAGUACCGGGAGAAUAAGCUCCGGCUAACUCCGUG
rnacentral:rRNA from 1 species